CCAUUUGCAGCGGGGAGGAGCCUGUUCCUGUGUGGCGACCUGGGCUUCAAUCUGUGAGGCGGGAAACCUGCUAGCAGGACUCUUGCUUUGUGGUCUCCUGUGAGAAGAACAUACCCCAGGUAGCCUCUUCUUUGAGAAGCACAAGGAAACACGUGGUGGUGGAACUGAACACAACCCACAGCCUGGAGCUAAACCCAACCUAAGCCAGCCAAGCUCUUCCAAGAUCACCCAAACUCAAGUUGACCUGUAGAUCCAUGGGCAAGGAAAGAAAUGCCUGCUGUUUUAAGAUCUCAAGUUUUAGGUUGAUUUGUUAUGCAGCAUUAUUGCAGUAAAAAUGAACUAAUACACUACCUAAUCCCAUUUUUCUAUUCAACAGUUAUUUGUUGGGUAGCUGAUAUGUGCCACACACUUAUAAUACAGGCUUCAGGGAUACCAUGGUUAAUAAAAUAAAGAGGGCAAAAGUAAAUGAACAAGAUAAUUUUGCAUUUUGACAAAUGCUAGGGAUAAGACAAGAUGAGUGAUGUGAUAAAUUGUGGUGGGGCUGUGGAAGAGGGCACAUUUAAUUUGGAUGGUCAGAGAGAGCCUCCUCUGGAAGGAAACAUUUGAAUGAGAUGAAUAACAAGGGCGAGGCUGCUAGAGGAUGAUCCAGCCACAGUGCAUUCCUGCAGAAGAGCCAGGGUGGAGGUCCUACGGUGGAAAUGAGUUUGGCUUAGGAACAGAUUCAAGUAUAUCUCAAAUAACUGAAAACUGUGAAAUUAACAUCAAAAGUAUUUGGAAGGCUAGAAGCUAGGCUGAUAUGUAGAAAUAAAACCCAGCCUCAGGAAGGAGCUGAGCCAGACUCAAAAACAAGGGGGGCAGCAAAGAGUGGUGGAUUCUGGGCUGGCCUUGCUGGCCACUCACUUGUCAGGGUGGGGUGGGUCAGCUGGCUUAAAUGUGCAGCUGGACAGACAGCUGCUGUUUCACUGCAUUGUCUCACUGCAUCUGUCUUCAUUAUCUGCAUCCUAUUUUGUGUUUCUUGGGCCAAUGUUUCCCAUCUCAGCUAGAGAUAUUUUACAUUGUUUUCACUGCAUGCAAAUAAUUUCACAAUUUUCUGUGGAAAGCCUUUGCUCCCUCCUUUCUUGUUUUUUUCCAAUUAUUUUAAUAGAAGUCGUGUGCAUACAUGGUUUAAAGAGUCAAAGAACUCUGUAAGGUUUAUUUUAAAAAACAGCCACUGUUAUGAGCAACACCCCCCUGCUGACAUUUCCCCAUUCCAGAGGCACUUUCAUCUUUUUUACAUGAUUGACAUUUCACCUUCCUGUCUCUAAAUAACAUACUUAAUACUACUUCUUGAUUUGCUAUUUUUAGGUAUUUUGUAUUGAUUUCCCUCAAUUGACUAGGAGGACUUAGCUUUCUUCCUUCUUGCUUCUUUUAUCAAACACCUUUCUAUUCUAUGCUAUCACCGUUCCCUCUUGGUAUAAUGUUAUGAUAAUUUUGCUGAGCUUAAUGUUUCAUUUGUAUUAUUAUGAUCACAUAAAUGCUUUUAAUAGCCAAACCAGAUGGUAAGAUGUAAUGAUAUUUCCUUUCUGUAGUAGGUGGCUUCUAAUAUGGUCCCCAGUGAUCUCUGAUGACUAGUAUUCAAGGCCUUGUGUAUUCCCCUCUCCUUGAGUGUGGACUGGGCUUAUUGACUUGCUUCUAACAAUUAGAAUACAGCGAAAACAAUGGAUGUCACUUCUAAGAUGGGGCUUCAUAAAGACCAGCUAUCAUUUUGGGCACUAUCUUUGGUUUGCUCACUCUUAGUGUGGUAGGUAGAGUUCUAAAGACAUCCCCCCAAAUUCUUACUCCUGGUUAUUCAGUCGAACACUAAUCUCAGUACUGCUAUGAAGGGAUUUUACAGAUGGAACUAAGGUUGUUCAUCAGCUGACCUUGAAAUGGAGGGAUUAUCUUGGAUCAUCCAGAUAGGCCCAAUGUAAUCACAUAUAUCCUUAGAAGCAGAAGAGCAAGGCAGGAGAAUAAGUCAGAAGAAGAAGGCAGGAGCAGGAGACAAGAGGCAGAAAGAGAGGUCAAAGAGAUCAGAAGUGUGAGAAAGCCUCAUUGGCUCAUUGGCUUUGCAGAUGAAGGGGGUUACCAGCCAGGGAAUGUGGGUGACUUCAGAAGCUGGACCCUGGUCAACAGCCAGCACGGACAUGAGGACCUCAGUCUUACAGCCAUGUGGAACUGAAAUCUACCAACCACCUGAAUGAGGCUGGAAGUGGAUUCUCCCCCGGAGCCUCCAGAUCAGAGCCCAGCCUGGCUGACAUUGAUUUCAGCCUUGUGAGAUUCAGAGCAGAGCCUCUGAGCUUACCUGGACUUCUGACCUAUGGAGCUGUGAGAUCAUAAGGGAGUGUUCUUUUAAGCUGCCAAAUUUUGGGGAAUCUGUUAUAGCAUCAGUAGAAAGCAAACACAUGUGGGAAGCCAGCUGUCAAGUUAUGAGCAUACAAAGGAAAUUGGGGAAGUGAUAACGUCAAGCAUUCAUCAUGAUAAGGCUUAUGUUAUUGAAUAAAA
rnacentral:lncRNA from 1 species